rnacentral:rRNA from 1 species
UACGUAGGGGCCUAGCGUUGUCCGGAUUUAUUGGGCGUAAAGAGCUCGUAGGCGGUUCGGUAAGUCAGGCGUGAAAUCUCCACGCUCAACGUGGAGGCGCCACCUGAAACUGCCGUGACUCGAGUCCGGUAGGGGAGUGUGGAAUUCCUGGUGUAGCGGUGAAAUGCGCAGAUAUCAGGAGGAACACCAGUGGCGAAGGCGGCUUCCUGGCCUGUUCUUGACGCUGAGGCGCGAAAGCUAGGGGAGCAAACGGG